GAAUUCAACUCCUACGGGAGGCAGCAGUGGGGAAUAUUGGACAAUGGACGAAAGUCUGAUGGAGCAACGCCGCGUGAACGAUGAAGGCUUUCGGGUCGUAAAGUUCUGUUGUAAGGGAAGAACAAGUGCCGCAGGCAAUGGCGGCACCUUGACGGUACCUUGCGAGAAAGCCACGGCUAACUACGUGCCAGCAGCCGCGGUAAUACGUAGGUGGCAAGCGUUGUCCGGAAUUAUUGGGCGUAAAGCGCGCGCAGGCGGCCUCUUAAGUCUGAUGUGAAAGCCCCCGGCUCAACCGGGGAGGGCCAUUGGAAACUGGGAGGCUUGAGUAUAGGAGAGAAGAGUGGAAUUCCACGUGUAGCGGUGAAAUGCGUAGAGAUGUGGAGGAACACCAGUGGCGAAGGCGACUCUUUGGCCUAUAGCUGACGCUGAGGCGCGAAAGCGUGGGGAGCAAACAGGAUUAGAAACCCUAGUAGUCCAGGCGUU
rnacentral:rRNA from 1 species